GAUUUUUUCCAUAUGUCAAGGUGAAUAAUACCUCAUCUGGUACACUGGGAGUCACUGGAGAAGAGGCAGAGUUUUGCAGGAUAAAUCUACAGCAUGUAGCUCAUAUCCAGCUUGCUUGGACUGCAGCAAAAUAAAUGCACAACAGUCUGCACCAGUCCAUGGAGACAGAAGUGCAAGUUCUUGGAGAUCUCCAAUGGAACUUGCUUGUCAGGCUAUUUUUUAAUGUUGCAAUCUGCAUCUAGAGAAAGAAAGAUCCAAGUAAAGAGGACUGACAGAAUCAUCCUGUUUUCCAGAAGACAGCAGAAACCGGCAAAUUGGGCCAAGAUUUUAAUUUUAGCAUCUCUUCAUAAUCAAGUGAUUCUGCCUUGCUGCUUUGCUCCUCCUGUCUGUAAUUCUUCAAGAAAUGGAUGCCACAGCUCUGGGAUGGCAACUUUUAAUACGCAUGGAUGUGCCCAGACAGGCUCUUCAUGGAGCCUGCUUCGUGACUGCAAUCAGAAGAUCUGUGAUGCACAUUCAGCACGCCUCAAGUUCUUCAACUGAAGUUUUAUUUUACCAUUCUAACUUGUCUUUUCAAAAACCUCUCCCCUUUUACCUCCUUUUCUGCUGCUAAUAGUGGAUGGCAGCUGUCUCGAGACCUCGGCGCUCCAUGCUUCUCUUGUCAAUGAAAGCGUUUUCCUGUUGGCAUUGACAGGCAGAAAUAUUUUCAUGCCAUCCUUAUGAAGUUUCCUCUGAUGGACUGGAUGAGUGCAACUGUUAGCUCUCUUAAGUGAUUCCACUCUUAUUUUUAAUUUGUGACUUUACAGCUCAAGAAUAUAUUUUCACAUUUAUCCCAGCUGUCUCUCUAACACAGAGAAGGGUGUGUGCAUUCAUGUGUAAGGGACCGAGCAAAGGAAUGCACUGUGUGAAGUUAUCUGCUGUUAAUAAAACCAACUUAUCAUAGCA
rnacentral:lncRNA from 1 species